rnacentral:rRNA from 1 species
GUGGGGAAUCUUGCGCAAUGGGCGAAAGCCUGACGCAGCCAUGCCGCGUGAAUGAUGAAGGUCUUAGGAUUGUAAAAUUCUUUCACCGGGGACGAUAAUGACGGUACCCGGAGAAGAAGCUCCGGCUAACUUCGUGCCAGCAGCCGCGGUAAUACGAAGGGGGCUAGCGUUGCUCGGAAUUACUGGGCGUAAAGGGCGCGUAGGCGGACAGCUUAGUCAGAGGUGAAAGCCCAGGGCUCAACCUUGGAAUUGCCUUUGAUACUGGCUGUCUUGAGUCUGGGAGAGGUGAGUGGAACUCCGAGUGUAGAGGUGAAAUUCGUAGAUAUUCGGAAGAACACCAGUGGCGAAGGCGACUCACUGGCCCAAUACUGACGCUGAGGCGCGAAAGCGUGGGGAGCAAACAGGAUUAGAAACCCCAGUAGUCC